GACAGAGGGUGCAAACGUUGUUCGGAAUUACUGGGCGUAAAGGGCGCGUAGGCGGCACUGUUAGUCAGGCGUGAAAUUCCUGGGCUCAACCUGGGGACUGCGCUUGAUACGGCAGAGCUAGAGGAUGGAAAAGGCUCGCGGAAUUCCCAGUGUAGAGGUGAAAUUCGUAGAUAUUCGGAAGAACACCAGUGGCGAAGGCGGCUCACUGGUCCGGUACUGACGCUGAGGUGCGAAAGCGUGGGGAGCAAACAGG
rnacentral:rRNA from 1 species